AGUGAACGCUGGCGGCAGGCCUAAUACAUGCAAGUCGAACGGCAGCACAGCAGAGCUUGCUCUGUGGGUGGCGAGUGGCGGACGGGUGAGGAAUACAUGGGAAUCUGCCCAGUCGUGGGGGAUAACGUAGGGAAACUUACGCUAAUACCGCAUGCGCCCUUCGGGGGAAAGCCGGGGACCUUCGGGCCUGGCGCGAUUGGAUGGGCCCAUGUCGGAUUAGCUAGUUGGGGGGGUAACGGCCCACCAAGGCGACGAUCCGUAGCUGGUCUGAGAGGAUGAUCAGCCACACUGGAACUGAGACACGGUCCAGACUCCUACGGGAGGCAGCAGUAGGGAAUAUUGGACAAUGGGCGCAAGCCUGAUCCAGCCAUGCCGCGUGAGUGAAGAAGGCCCUCGGGUUGUAAAGCUCUUUUGUCCGGAAAGAAAAGCACUGGGUUAAUACCCCGGCGUCCUGACGGUACCGGAAGAACAAGCACCGGCUAACUUCGUGCCAGCAGCCGCCGUAACAC
rnacentral:rRNA from 1 species